rnacentral:rRNA from 2 species
CAAAUGACUCUCGGCAAUGGAUAUCUCGGCUCUUGCAUCGAUGAAGAACGUAGUGAAAUGCGAUACUUGGUGUGAAUUGCAGAAUCUCGUGAACCAUUGAGUCUUUGAACGCAAGUUGUGCCCGAGGCCUUCUGGUCGAGGGCACGCCUGCUUGGGUGUCAUGG